rnacentral:rRNA from 1 species
CACGUAGGGGGCAAGCGUUGUCCGGAUUCAUUGGGCGUAAAGAGCUCGUAGGCGGUUCGAUAAGUCGGGUGUGAAACCUCCAGGCUCAACCUGGAGACGCCACCCGAUACUGUCGUGACUAGAGUCCAGUAGGGGAGCGUGGAAUUCCUGGUGUAGCGGUGAAAUGCGCAGAUAUCAGGAGGAACACCGGUGGCGAAGGCGGCUCUCUGGACGGUGACUGACGCUGAGACGCGAAAGCGUGGGGAGCAAACAGG